UUACUUUUGGUCUCUCCUAUCCAUCUGACCAAACCUGGGCAUGAGAAGGGAGUAUGACUCAGGACAUGAUACAUUGUUGGGACACACCAAGCUCAGUGUCCCCUCUGGGUCACUGGCUCAAUAUCCUCUCACAACAGGCUGGUUUACAACAAAACAUCCAGGGCCACCCAGUUUCCCGAUGGUGUGGAUGUACGUGUCCCUGGCUUUGGGAAGACCUUCUCACUGGAGUUCCUGGACCCCAGCAAAAGCAGCGUGGGUAUGUAGCCCUUACUCAAGGCCUCCGGGAGCUGGGAUGGGGGUUCUGCCGGACUGGAGGUGGAGCUGGAGGAACUCUGCUGGUUUGUAGGGACAGCCUGUGAGCUGUCUCUGAUCAGCGUGGGCACAGAGCCCUGUAGCAUUCUUCCAGGGACCUGCUAGCUGUCACAGUCUCCAUGCUGGGCAUAGUGUAGGUGGCCGGCACUAGCUGUAUCUUUUCUUAUCCUCUGUAUUUCUGUCUACAGGUUCCUAUUUCCACACCAUGGUGGAGAGCCUUGUGGGCUGGGGCUACACACGGGGUGAGGAUGUCCGAGGGGCUCCCUAUGACUGGCGCCGAGCCCCAAGUAAGCAGGCACUCUCAUUCCCUCCCUGAAGUCUCGGGAGGUAGGGGCAAGGUGAUCAUGGGCACCACAGGCCUUGGGCUCUCCCCUUGUCCUUGGCUGUCUCCUGUCCCUGGGCCUCUGGCAUCCAGUCUAGUGGUCACAGCCACCACCUUUGGUCAGUCUUAUCCUGUCUUCCAUUUCCCACCCUGGGACCUCUGGGCCUCUGAGCCCUGGGGAGAAAUAUAAGGCUUCCUCCCUUCAUGGAAGGCGGGGGGGACCCAGACCACUCUGUUUGAAUGUGAGCACCCUCCCCUCCCCCUCUCGUCUUGUGUCUGGCCUGAGAAAAGCUCAGUGGUUCCGGCUCCAGGACCCUUCCCACCUGACCCCUGCCUGGCUCUGGCCUGCAGAUGAAAACGGGCCCUACUUCCUGGCCCUCCGCGAGAUGAUCGAGGAGAUGUACCAGCUGUAUGGGGGCCCCGUGGUGCUGGUUGCCCACAGUAUGGGCAACAUGUACACGCUCUACUUUCUGCAGCGGCAGCCGCAGGCCUGGAAGGACAAGUAUAUCCAGGCCUUCGUGUCACUGGGUGCGCCCUGGGGGGGCGUGGCCAAGACCCUGCGCGUCCUGGCUUCAGGAGACAACAACCGGAUCCCAGUCAUCGGGCCCCUGAAGAUCCGGGAGCAGCAGCGGUCAGCUGUCUCCACCAGCUGGCUACUGCCCUACAACUACACAUGGUCACCUGAGAAGGUGUUCGUGCAGACACCCACGAUCAACUACACACUACGGGACUACCGCAAGUUCUUCCAGGACAUUGGCUUUGAAGAUGGCUGGCUUAUGCGGCAGGACACAGAAGGGCUGGUGGAAGCCACGAUGCCACCUGGCGUGCAGCUGCACUGCCUCUAUGGCACUGGUGUCCCCACACCAGACUCCUUCUACUAUGAGAGCUUCCCUGACCGUGACCCUAAAAUCUGCUUUGGUGACGGCGAUGGUACUGUGAACUUGAAGAGUGCCCUGCAGUGCCAGGCCUGGCAGAGCCGCCAGGAGCACCAAGUGUUGCUGCAGGAGUUGCCAGGCAGCGAGCACAUCGAGAUGCUGGCCAACGCCACCACCCUGGCCUAUCUGAAACGUGUGCUCCUUGGGCCCUGACUCCUGUGCCACAGGACUCCUGUGGCUCGGCCGUGGACCUGCUGUUGGCCUCUGGGGCUGUCAUGGCCCACGCGUUUUGCAAAGUUUGUGACUGACCAUUCAAGGCCCCGAGUCUUGGACUGUGAAGCAUCUGCCGUGGGGAAGUGCUGUUUGUUAUCCUUUCUCUGUGGCAGUGAAGAAGGAAGAAAUGAGAGUCUAGACUCAAGGGACACUGGAUGGCAAGAAUGCUGCUGAUGGUGGAACUGCUGUGACCUCAGGACUGGCUCCACAGGGUGGACUGGCUGGGCCCUGGUCCCAAUCCCUACCUGGGGCCAUGUGUCCCCCCGACUCCUGUGGGCUUUUCAUACUUGCCUGGGCCCUGGCCCCGCAGCCUUCCUAUGAGGGAUGUUACUGGGCUGUGGUCCUGUACCCAGAGGUCCCAGGGAUGGGCUCCUGGCCCCUCCGGUGACCCUUCCCACACACCAGCCACAGAAAGGCCUGCCACUGGUCAUGGGUAGCUAGAGCUGCUGGCUUCCCUAUGGCUUAGCUGGUGGCCAGCCUGACUGGCUUCCUGGGUGAGCCCAGUAGCUCCUGCAGGCAGGGGCAGUUUGUUGCAUUCUUCAUGGUUCCCAGGCCCUGGGACAUUUCACUCCACUCCUACCUCCCUUACCUCCAGGAGCAGUCAAGCUCUGGAUUGGGCAGCAGAUGUGCCCCCAGUCCUGCAGGCUGUGUUCCAGGGGCCCUGAUUUCCUCGGAUGUGCUGUUGGCCCCAGGACUGAAGCUGCCUCCCUUCACCCUGGGACUGUGGUUCCAAGGAUGAGAGCAGGGGUUGGAGCCAUGGCCUUCUAGGAACCUAUGGAGAAAGGGAAUCCAAGGAAGCAGCCAAGGCUGCUCGCAGCUUCCCUGAGCUGCACCUCUUGCUAACCCCACCAUCACACUGCCACCCUGCCCUAGGGUCUCACUAUUACCAAGUGGGUCAGCACAGGGCUGAGGAUGGGGCUCCUAUCCACCCUGGCCAGCACCCAGCUUAGUGCUGGGACUAGCCCAGAAACUUGAAUGGGACCCUGAGAGAGCCAGGGGUCCCCUGAGGCCCCCCAGGGGCUUUCUGUCCGCCCCAGGGUGCUCCAUGGAUCUCCCUGUGGCAGCAGGCAUGGAGAGUCAGGGCUGCCUUCAUGGCAGUAGGCUCUAAGUGGGUGACUGGCCACAGGCCGAGAAAAGGGUACAACUUCUAGGUGGGGUUCCCAAAGACGCCUUCAGGCUGGACUGAGCUGUUCUCCCACAGGGUUUCUGUGCAGCUGGAUUUUCUCUGUUGCAUACGUGCCUGGCAUCUGUCUCCCCUUGUUCCUGAGUGGCUCCACAUGGGGCUCUGAGCAGGCUGUAUCUGGAUUCUGGCAAUAAAAGUACUCUGGAUGCUGU
rnacentral:sRNA from 1 species